GACGAACGCUGGCGGUGUGCUUAACACAUGCAAGUCGAACGGUAAGGCCCUUUCGGGGGUACACGAGUGGCGAACGGGUGAGUAACACGUGAGUAACCUGCCCUCAUCUCUGGGAUAACAGUCGGAAACGGUUGCUAAUACUGGAUAUGAGCUUGCAAGGCAUCUUGUGGGUUGGAAAGAUUUUUUUGGUUGGGGAUGGACUCGCGGCCUAUCAGCUUGCUGGUGAGGUAGUGGCUCACCAAGGCUUCGACGGGUAGCCGGCCUGAGAGGGCGACCGGCCACAUUGGGACUGAGAUACGGCCCAAACUCCUACGGGAGGCAGCAGUGGGGAAUAUUGCACAAUGGACGGAAGUCUGAUGCAGCAACGCCGCGUGCGGGAUGACGGCCUUCGGGUUGUAAACCGCUUUCAAUUGUGACGAAGCUUUUUGUGACGGUAGCAGUAGAAGAAGCACCGGCUAACUACGUG
rnacentral:rRNA from 1 species